rnacentral:rRNA from 1 species
ACGGGUGAGUAACGCGUGGGAACCUACCCAGAACUUCGGAAUAACACAUGGAAACGUGUGCUAAUACCGGAUACGCCCUACGGGGGAAAGAUUUAUCGGUUUUGGAUGGGCCCGCGUAAGAUUAGCUAGUUGGUGAGGUAAUGGCUCACCAAGGCGACGAUCUUUAGCUGGUCUGAGAGGAUGAUCAGCCACACUGGGACUGAGACACGGCCCAGACUCCUACGGGAGGCAGCAGUGGGGAAUAUUGGACAAUGGGCGCAAGCCUGAUCCAGCCAUGCCGCGUGAGUGAUGAGGCCUUAGGGUUGUAAAGCUCUUUCAGUAGGGAAGAUAAUGACGGUACCUACAGAAGAAGCCCCGGCUAACUUCGUGCCAGCAGCCGCGGUAAUACGAAGGGGGCUAGCGUUGUUCGGAUUUACUGGGCGUAAAGCGCACGUAGGCGGAUCGUUAAGUUAGGGGUGAAAUCCUGGAGCUCAACUCCAGAACUGCCUCUAAUACUGGCGAUCUAGAGUCCGGAAGAGGUGAGUGGAACUCCUAGUGUAGAGGUGGAAUUCGUAGA